rnacentral:rRNA from 1 species
GACGAACGCUGGCGGCGUGCUUAACACAUGCAAGUCGAACGGAAAGGCCCUUCUUUUUUUGGGUGCUCGAGUUGCGAGCGGGUGAGUAACACGUGAGUAGCCUGCCCUUCCCUCUUCUAUAACUUCAGCAAAUUGGGGCUAAUCCCGGAUAGGAGCUCCUGCUUCAUGGUGGGGGUUGGAAAGUUUCGGCGGUUGUGUAUGGACUGGCGGGUUAUCAGGUUGUUGGUGGGGUAGUUGCUUACCAGGGCUUUGACGGGUAGCCGGCCUGAGAGGGUGACCGGCACCAUUGGGACUGAGAUACGGCCCAGACUCCUACGGGAGGCAGCAGUGGGGAAUAUUGCAAAAUGGGCGGAAGCCUGAUGCAGCAACGCCGCGUGCGUGAUGACGGCCUUCGGGUUGUAAACCGCGUUCGCCUGUGACGAAGCGUGAGUGACGGUAAUUGGUAAAGAAGCACCGGCUAACUACGUG